AAAAAAGAGUGAGUUAGGUCCUUGGGAAGUUGACCCAAAAUUAGGGUUUCAAUCAAAAUGACCUAUAAUGUUUUGAAAGGAAUGAUGACCUUACAAGUUUCAAAUGAAUUGUUGAUAUGGUUCUUAAGAACAUAUUUUCUCUUGGGGUCAUCUUCAUUUGACAAACACAUCAAAAGUUAGGUCUCAGUGGAUUUCAAUUUAGUCAGAUGACUUGACUGG
rnacentral:lncRNA from 1 species